UCCAGGGAACGGAGCUGGCAGAAAGGAGUCACCGCUUCCGUCAAAAGGGAGGGAAAACGGAGCGGUAACAACCGCCCGCAGCCACCUGGCGGCACCUCUGCGCUGCCGUACCGUGUGACCCCGUACCUCCGCCCCGCCAGAACGCUGACGGUCUUAAAGUCCUCGUGUGACCGAGUCCUUCUGAGCCGGUACUGACAGUGUCGCGGACAAGCUUUCACAAGCCGAAGAAUCGGGCAACAAGAGAAUCAUCCCCUGCAGACCUGAGACAUCCCACAUUUCAGAAGAUUCUAUGCAAACCCUCUACUCAAGAGUGAACAAAAGACUACUCCCACUAGCUGGGCCAAAUGAAAAUGACCCAAGCUGUUUUUAAUGAAGAUUCUCCAAAAAGCCCAGACAAUCAAUGGUCCAUGAGAAACUUUCUACUUCAUCUCCCUCCAGUGAGAUCAUCUUUAACUACAGAAAUCAAUGUGAUGUUAAAAAUAAGCAUCGCGAGGCUAUGCUGUAUGAUGAGCUGAGGAAAAAGAUAGAGACAGUGUAGGGUUUCUCACAUGGAAAAUUAUAAAGUACUGAUGAAACACAAUAAAGUU